rnacentral:rRNA from 1 species
GUAGGUGGCAAGCGUUGUCCGGAAUUAUUGGGCGUAAAGCGCGCGCAGGCGGUCCUUUAAGUCUGAUGUGAAAGCCCACGGCUCAACCGUGGAGGGUCAUUGGAAACUGGGGGACUUGAGUACAGAAGAGGAAAGCGGAAUUCCAAGUGUAGCGGUGAAAUGCGCAGAGAUUUGGAGGAACACCAGUGGCGAAGGCGGCUUUCUGGUCUGUAACUGACGCUGAGGCGCGAAAGCGUGGGGAGCAAACAGGGAUUAGAUACCCUGGUAGUCCACGCCGUAAACGAUGAGUGCUAAGUGUUAGGGGGGUUUCCGCCCCCUUAGUGCUGCAGCUAACGCAUUAAGCACUCCGCCUGGGGAGUACGGCCGCAAGGCUG